CAGAUCCUCGCGAGGAGCUCAUACUGGGAUACUCAAAAUGGGGGCGCUUUCCUUUUUGUCUGUACUGGGAAGUGCUUCGAUUUUGGGGUGUCCCUGUUUGAGUAGGGCAUCACGAACCAUC
rnacentral:precursor_RNA from 1 species